rnacentral:lncRNA from 12 species
UUUGUUACUUUUUUGGUACCAUAAGUAUAAAACAUGAUAAUUGCAUUGAAAUUUUAAAAAGAAGGGAAAGGAAAGGAAGGGAAGUUUCAGGGAAGGGAAGUUUCAGGGAAGUUUCAGGGAAGUUUCAGGGAAGGGAAGUUUCAGGGAAGGGAAGGGAAGGGAAGGGAAGGGAAGGGAAGGGAAGGGAAGACCAAAAAUAUUAAUAAUAUACAAGAUGCACAGCUUACAUUUUGUUUUGUUAGGCUAAAGAAAUAAAAUAAGCGUGUGC